GUACGGGGGGGGCAAGCGUUGUUCGGAAUUACUGGGCGUAAAGGGCUCGUAGGUGGCCAACUAAGUCCGACGUGAAAUCCCAAGGCUUAACCUUGGAACUGCGUCGGAUACUGGAUGGCUUGAAUUCGGGAGAGGGAUGCAGAAUUCCAGGUGUAGCGGUGAAAUGCGUAGAUAUCUGGAGGAAUACCGGUGGCGAAGGCGGCAUCCUGGACCGACAUUGACGCUGAUGAGCGAAAGCUAGGGGAGCAAACGGG
rnacentral:rRNA from 1 species